GUGGGGAAUAUUGCGCAAUGGGCGAAAGCCUGACGCAGCGACGCCGCGUGGGGGAUGAAGCUUUUCGGAGUGUAAACCCCUUUCGACCCGGACGAAUGACCCGCAAGGGUUUGACGGUACGGGUAUAAGAAGCCCCGGCUAACUACGUGCCAGCAGCCGCGGUAAUACGUAGGGGGCCAGCGUUGCUCGGAAUUACUGGGCGUAAAGGGUUCGUAGGUGGUGCGGCAAGUUGGGAGUGAAAUCUCUGGGCUUAACCCAGAGGCUGCUUUCAAAACUGCCGUGCUCGAGUGCGAGAGAGGUCAGUGGAAUUGCAGGUGUAGCGGUGAAAUGCGUAGAUAUCUGCAGGAACACCCGUGGCGAAGGCGGCUGACUGGAUCGCAACUGACACUGAGGAACGAAAGCUAGGGGAGCAAACAGGAUUAGAAACCCUUGUAGUCC
rnacentral:rRNA from 1 species